AUAGCUCAGUGGUAGAGUGUGUGCCUAGCAUGCACGAGGUCCUGGGUUCAAUCCUCAGU
rnacentral:tRNA from 1 species